UACGGGGGGGGGCAAGCGUUGUUCGGAAUUAUUGGGCGUAAAGGGCGCGUAGGCGGUUAGAUAAGUCGGCUGUGAAAACCUCGGGCUUAACUCGAGGCCUGCAGUUGAAAACUGUCUAGCUUGAGUCCGGAAGAGGCAAGUGGAAUUCCCGGUGUAGCGGUGAAAUGCGCAGAUAUCGGGAGGAACACCAAUGGCGAAGGCAGCUUGCUGGGACGGUACUGACGCUGAGGCGCGAAAAGCGUGGGGGAG
rnacentral:rRNA from 1 species